UGGGGAAUAUUGCACAAUGGGCGCAAGCCUGAUGCAGCCAUGCCGCGUGUAUGAAGAAGGCCUUCGGGUUGCAAAGUACUUUCAGCGGGGAGGAAGGUGUUGAGGUUAAUAACCUCAGCAAUUGACGUUACCCGCAGAAGAAGCACCGGCUAACUCCGUGCCAGCAGCCGCGGUAAUACGGAGGGUGCAAGCGUUAAUCGGAAUUACUGGGCGUAAAGCGCACGCAGGCGGUCUGUCAAGUCGGAUGUGAAAUCCCCGGGCUCAACCUGGGAACUGCAUUCGAAACUGGCAGGCUAGAGUCUUGUAGAGGGGGGUAGAAUUCCAGGUGUAGCGGUGAAAUGCGUAGAGAUCUGGAGGAAUACCGGUGGCGAAGGCGGCCCCCUGGACAAAGACUGACGCUCAGGUGCGAAAGCGUGGGGAGCAAACA
rnacentral:rRNA from 1 species